rnacentral:rRNA from 1 species
AUUGAACGCUGGCGGCAUGCUUUACACAUGCAAGUCGAACGGUAACAGGCCUUCGGGUGCUGACGAGUGGCGAACGGGUGAGUAAUGCAUCGGAACGUACCCAGAGGUGGGGGAUAACGCAGCGAAAGCUGUGCUAAUACCGCAUGUGAUCUGAGGAUGAAAGCGGGGGACCGAGCAGCAAUGUUUGGCCUCGCGCCUUUGGAGCGGCCGAUGUCGGAUUAGCUAGUUGGUGGGGUAAAGGCCUACCAAGGCGACGAUCCGUAGCUGGUCUGAGAGGACGUCCAGCCACACUGGGACUGAGACACGGCCCAGACUCCUACGGGAGGCAGCAGUGGGGAAUUUUGGACAAUGGGCGCAAGCCUGAUCCAGCAAUGCCGCGUGCGGGAAGAAGGCCUUCGGGUUGUAAACCGCUUUUGGCAGGAACGAAACGGUGUCCGCUAAUACCGGGCGCUAAUGACGGUACCUGCAGAAUAAGCACCGGCUAACUACGUG